UUUACCCCUAUGUUCUAUUAUUAGCCGUGGCAGCCAUUUUGGUUGAUUGGCCAGGUCACGCCACACAUUUUUAAAACAAAUUACCCCAAUGAUGAUUGUGGCAAAGCUUAGUUUAAUUUGGCCCAGUAGUUUCAGAGAAGAAAAUUUUUGUAAAAGAUUACUAAGAUUUACGAAAAAAUGGUUAAAAAUUGACUAUAAAGGGCAUUAACUCCUUCAGGGGUCAACUGACCAUUUUGAUCAUGCUGACUUAUUCGUAAAUCUUACUUUGCUGAACAUUAUUGCUGUUUACCGUUUAUCUCUAUCUAUAAUAAUAUUCAAG
rnacentral:lncRNA from 1 species